rnacentral:misc_RNA from 1 species
UUUUUUUUGGAGGGAAAAAAAAAUCUUGCCCAGGAAAUUCUAAACCAUAAUCUGUCAACAUACUAUGACAGGUCACAACUAAUUUUCAGCUGCAAUAGCCAAGUUGAUUUUGCACCAAUUUCAAUGAAGGCAGCAAGCAAAAUGUUUCAAGAAAUCUACCUAAAAGUCAUUCAGAAUGCAGCUCCAAGUAUGUUCAGCAUAUAAUCGAUCGCGUCGAGUUAAGCAACCCAACUACUUAAAAUUGGACAAGUAUUUGCAAGC